GUUUCCAAGAAGACAUCUUUCCCCAGUGACUUUGUAUUUAGUGUAAUCUUACCGUGUAUGUCUGGCCAAAGGCAAUGUUGAUGAUGCAUGUAGCUCCCUGUUUCUAUAUUUGUGUUAGUGUGUGUAUUUGCGUGACGUGUUAUACGUUCUGUUGCAGUUUAGAUUCAGAUCCAUCUGCUACACUCCUGUUCCUUUUUAGCUUGUGGGUGUGUGGGUGCGAGUGAUUUUGUUUAUGAGUUGAAGGGUAAUGUAGUGUGGCUUUCUGUUUGUGUGUUUGUGUGUGAGUUUAAUAAGCUUAAGGUUGCAUCUGAUUGCCUUUCUCUUUGUGUUGUGUGUGUUUUUGUGCCUGAGGUCCACCAGACAGUUGCUAUGCCAUUAAUCACAGCAUUCACUAGUAUGUUAAUGGGAGAGAAUAUUUGAUUAAUGUGAAUAUGUGUGUUUAUUUGUAAGCAUUUGUAUGACUAAACCUUUGAUGGUCAUUCACACACACACUAUAAUUAUUGAGUCAAAGCCCUUGGCCUUGUUUGUCCACACCUUCGUCUGUGUCUGUGUUUACCUAGCUUCUAUUUUUUGGGGGGGCUAAAUUUGUAUACUCUUAGAUCAGAGAAUUGUGUCUCGGACUUGUUGUUUUAAUCUAAGAAUAGUUCUUCACAUUGUUUCCUAGUCAUCAUUGUGCAGUCCAACUGUGCCGCUUUCCUUUAAUGUGACCGCAGACAGCUGUUUCGCUGUUUCUCAGAUUGAUCGCUUCAUGUUAGUGACUGCUCUGUGAAUGAGUGUGAAUGCUUUCAUCACGCACCCAAUUGUUAAGAUGUGUUCAACAUAACAGCCUAUUGAAAAUUAAUGAUUUGCUCUUUGUUUGUUUUCAUUAGGCUGAUGGAGGUGCUAUAGCGUAAUGGUUUUGAUUAAUUGCAGAGUGUAAAUGAGAUUUUUAUUUAUUUUUUUUUUGGGGGGGGGGGGGGGGGGGGGACACUGCAAUUGUGAUUGUGUCUUGCAGAAAAGUAAUCAGUGUUGGGUGGUGAUUUGGCCACAUGCAAAGUGGAUAUUUUCCCAGCCUGUCCACAAGUGUUUUAUUCCUGUUAUACCACAGGAAUAUGCCAACAGAUGGGGGCUCUUCUUAUUGCCCUUGUUCCUGUACAUCAGUAACAGCGUCUCCAGACCCCUCACCACAGCCUCAACAGGAACGGUGACAGGCCUGCAUAUCCUAAGUUUAACAUCUUUGGUGCAGCUAUAACAACCUUGACCUGAAAUAACUAAAGACCGUGGAGUUUACAAAACACUGAGUGGGCGCGGCACACCUCCUUCACAUAUGACUGGAACCUAAUAUUGAUUUCACUGCGAAAAAGCCGAGAACGCCAGACGUGCCUUAGGAGCAGAUCUACAAAACCACCAAAUAUGAGCACUCUCAGUUAAGAAGCAGUGGGAAAUAUCAUCGCUGACCCUCACACCUUGGACACCGCAUAUUUGAAGUGUUUCCCUCUAGCAGAUGCUUUAAAAUGAUGUGCACACAAAAAAAUGACCAGACUCAUGAAUGUGUAAUCCGCCCACACAUGUAAUGUCAAUCUGCAGUAGUUUGUAUAUGGGUCAAGAGCAAAAAUGAUUUUUGUAAAACAGGUUAAUUAGAUAACGUAAAUUAGUUUAAUUAAGCUGUUUAAAAAUUAUUUUUAUCUUUGACGCAUAUAUUAAUACUCAUCCAGCUAUUACUAUUACUAUCAACAACUAUCCAGCUAUUACUGUUUUUUUUUAUUAUUAAACUAAAAUAAAAUAAGUAUUAUUCUUGUUACAAGUUUUGCUGAUACUUUUUUGUGACUUCAUUUUUUAAAUUAGUGUUAUAAAUAUAUAUUAGAUCAUUAUUCUGAAUGACAAUUUUGCAUUGUACAUUGUAAAUUGCAUUGUUUCUGGCAUAAUAUACACAAUUUGGAAAAAAAAAUUAUUAUGAGACAAGAGACAAUUAAGAGUUAUAAGAUAUGCAGCAUUUACGGUAGGCAUAUUAAUGAUCCUACAUUAAGUUUUUACUUUAAGGAAUUAUUUUUGUCUUUGACCCAUAUAUGGUAUAAACAAAAUAAAAAUAAAAACAAAAAAUAAGAAUAAAAUAAAAUCAUUUUUCUUGUAAUAAGUCAAGAGAAUUUCUCUGUAGGCUUUGCUGAAUGGAUGCUGAGUAAACAAAUCAUGGGAGAUGAGGUUAUGUUUAAUUAUUCAGCAAACCAUUCAAAGUAGGACUAUUAAAAACAACUAGAGUACAUGCAGUAUAAUCAAUGAGACACAAAUCAUUCAACUUGAACCGCAGGAUAUUUGGUAUGUUUUGAAUAAUUGCACUUUGUUUGUCUUGUAGAGUCAGAGGCGGUCCUAGUUCAGAAAAAUCCAGUUUAUUGAAACAUUUCUCUGAGGUAAUGCCAGGGGCACUCAUCCGCAAUUUCCACACUGUAGUCCUGUGGAUUAUCCAACUUCAAAUGCACAAAGAUAACUGUAGCACUAACUCGAUUGUGUAGCAUGAGAGGGUCACCACAGAUGAUGUAUUUUCAGUUUUUCUUCUACGUUAGGAAGAUGAGUGAAUGAAUGAAUCAAAAUACCACAAAAUAAUAUUAUUAUUCUUGCAUUUUAUUGCAAAUUCUUCUUCUUCGUGGCUUAGUGGUUAGCAUGUUUGCCUCGCACCUGCGGAGUUGGGGGCUUGAAUCCCGCCUCCAUCUUUUGCGUGUGGAGUUUGCAUGUUCUCCCCGUGGUUCGAGCGUUUCCUCCGGGUACUCCGGUUUCCUCCCACAAGGACAUGCACUGUAGGCUGAUUGGCAUUUCCAAAUUGUCCGUAAUGUGUGAAUGUGUGUGUGAUUGUGCCCUGCGAUGGAUUGGCGCCCCGUCCAGGGUGUCCCCCGCCUUGUGUCCUGAGUCCCCUGGGAUAGGCUCCAGGCUCCCCAUGACCCUGCAUGAUAAGCGCUUCGUGCUGGUCAUGGUCCAGGUGAAUAAGGAUCUUAUCCCGGGAACACGGUGUGAGAAUAAUCUAUACAGUUGCUGAUGCAACUGUCAGUGGCGUAUUACAGCAUCAGUGUGUGGGCGUGGAUCUGCAUCCAGCCGCAGAGCUAAUGAAAUAUUCAUUUGCACACGUCACACUGCUCUAACAAGCCAACAUUAUCAACAGAAGAUACUCACAUGAAAACACACCAGUAAGGUGGUGUAUUAAUGAAUGUACUGUAUUAGUGUACAUUUUUCUAUGGCUUGCAUGAUCUGUGUAAUGGCUGUGUGUGUUUCCUUCCAGUUUUAAUUCCAAUCCCAGUAAAUGAACUAUAGAUCACAAUUUUAUUAAAAAAAAAAAAAAGAAGGUUAAUCGUAUACUACUCAGUCCAGUAAAAAUGCUUUACACGAGACCUUUUUCACAACCCUGUCCUAAACAUAUCAUUGAUAAUGUCAUAUGCUGUCAUGAAUUGCAAUGACAAUUUUCAUUAAGUGAUUUUAGUGACAUGUGACAACGAUACCAGCAAUGUUACAUCAUUAACAAUGAUAUAAUAUUCAUUUUUUCCCCUUUCUCUAUCAGU
ensembl:lncRNA